GAUGAACGCUGGCGGCGUGCCUAAUACAUGCAAGUCGAGCGAACGGACGAGAAGCUUGCUUCUCUGAUGUUAGCGGCGGACGGGUGAGUAACACGUGGAUAACCUACCUAUAAGACUGGGAUAACUUCGGGAAACCGGAGCUAAUACCGGAUAAUAUUUUGAACCGCAUGGUUCAAUAGUGAAAGACGGUCUUGCUGUCACUUAUAGAUGAAUCCGCGCUGCAUUAGCUAGUUGGUAAGGUAACGGCUUACCAAGGCAACGAUGCAUAGCCGACCUGAGAGGGUGAUCGGCCACACUGGAACUGAGACACGGUCCAGACUCCUACGGGAGGCAGCAGUAGGGAAUCUUCCGCAAUGGGCGAAAGCCUGACGGAGCAACGCCGCGUGAGUGAUGAAGGUCUUCGGAUCGUAAAACUCUGUUAUUAGGGAAGAACAUAUGUGUAAGUAACUGUGCACAUCUUGACGGUACCUAAUCAGAAAGCCACGGCUAACUACGUG
rnacentral:rRNA from 1 species